AUUGAACGCUGGCGGCAGGCCUAACACAUGCAAGUCGAACGAGUGGCGGACGGGUGAGUAAUGUCUGGGAAACUGCCCGAUGGAGGGGGAUAACUACUGGAAACGGUAGCUAAUACCGCAUACCAUCGGAUGUGCCCAGAUGGGAUUAGCUAGUGGGUGGGGUAAAGUCUCACCUGGGCGACGAUCCCUAGCUGGUCUGAGAGGAUGACCAGCCACAAUGGAACUGAGACACGUUCCAGACUCCUACGGGCGGCAGCAUUGGGGAAUAUUGCACAAUGGGCGCAAGCCUGAUGCAGCCAUGCCGCGUGUGUGAAGAAGGCCUUCGGGUUGUAAAGCACUUUCAGCGGGGAGGCUUUACCCGCAGAAGAAGCACCGGCUAACUCCGUGCCAGCAGCCGCGGUAAUAC
rnacentral:rRNA from 1 species